rnacentral:rRNA from 1 species
AUUGAACGCUGGCGGCAUGCUUUACACAUGCAAGUCGAACGGCAGCGCGGGCUUCGGCCUGGCGGCGAGUGGCGAACGGGUGAGUAAUACAUCGGAACGUGCCCAGUAGUGGGGGAUAGCUCGGCGAAAGCCGGAUUAAUACCGCAUACGACCUGAGGGUGAAAGCGGGGGAUCUUCGGACCUCGCGCUAUUGGAGCGGCCGAUGGCAGAUUAGCUAGUUGGUGGGGUAAAGGCCUACCAAGGCGACGAUCUGUAGCUGGUCUGAGAGGACGACCAGCCAGGGGGGGAUGGAGACAGUCACAAGACUGACAGGGGGGGUGGCGGUGGGGAAUGCUGGACAGUGGGAGAAAGCGUGAGCAGGCAAGGCCGGGUGGGUGAGGAAGGCGUUGGGGAGGUAAAGAAAUUUGGGGGGGAAAGAAAGGGACUGCGCAAAUAGCACGGGGCGAUGACGGAACCCGCAGAAGAAGCACCGGUUAACGACGUGCCAGCGGCUGGGGUAAUAAUGGAAGCGCAGACGUGUGAAC